rnacentral:rRNA from 1 species
AUUGAACGCUGGCGGCAUGCCUUACACAUGCAAGUCGAACGGCAGCACGGGAGCAAUCCUGGUGGCGAGUGGCGAACGGGUGAGUAAAGUAUCGGAACGUGCCCAGUCGUGGGGGAUAACGUAGCGAAAGUUACGCUAAUACCGCAUACGAUCUAUGGAUGAAAGCGGGGGAUCGCAAGACCUCGCGCGAUUGGAGCGGCCGAUAUCAGAUUAGGUAGUUGGGGGGGUAAAGGCUCACCAAGCCGAGUAUCUGUAGCUGGUCUGAGAGGACGAACAGCCACGCUGGGACUGAGACACGGCCCAGACUCCUACGGGAGUCAGCAGUGGGGAAUUUUGGACAAUGGGCGCAAGCCUGAUCCAGCCAUGCCGCGUGCAGGAUGAAGGCCUUCGGGUUGUAAACUGCUUUUGUACGGAACGAAAAGGUUUGACUUAAUACGUUGGACUCAUGACGGUACCGUAAGAAUAAGCACCGGCUAACUACGUGCCAGCAGCCGCAGUAA